rnacentral:tRNA from 1 species
GCGGGGUGGAGCAGUCUGGUAGCUCGUCGGGCUCAUAACCCGAAGGUCACAGGUUCAAAUCCUGUCUCC